rnacentral:misc_RNA from 1 species
UGCCUCUCGAGCUUUGAAAGCUGAACAAGCUGAGCCACGACUAUUGCUACCAAAAACCAGAACAACAACAACUUAAGCAGUAUAAAAAUUAGAUGUCAUUUCCUUUUUAUUUAUAAAGUCAGCAGAGCAGUGGCCUUUUCAAGGGCUCUCAGAAUCUUGUCAAGUGGGCUGUGUGACCACUUCAAAAGGGGUUUUUAUCUACUUAAUGUUAGCUUCCUUUGGGAUUUUUCUGCACUCAUCUUUAUGAUCUUCGUCGGCUUAUCUUUAUUUAUUUUUUAUUUACAAUCAAGGGUGUUUAUAUCAGAUUUCGGACAUGGCUAUCUUUUACUAUCUUUUGGUUGGUUUCCAGAUGAGGGGCUUUUCUCUUUAGCAUUAGCCAUUAGAUGACCACAAUUAGGCCCACGG